rnacentral:rRNA from 1 species
CCCUUAGAUGUCCUGGGCCGCACGCGCGUUACACUGAUGCAUUCAACGAGCUUAUAACCUUGGCCGAGAGGCCUGGGCAAUCUUGUUAACGUGCAUCGUGAUAGGGAUAGAUUAUUGAAAUUAUUAAUCUUGAACGAGGAAUUCCUAGUAAACGCAGAUCAUCAAUCAGCAUUGAUUACGUCCCUGCCCUUUGUACACACCGCCCGUCGCACCUACCGAUUGGAUGGUCCGGUGAAGCCUCGGGAUUGUGGUUCUUGCCGCUUUAUUGUGGCGUGACCGCGAGAACUUGUCUAAACCUUAUCAUCUAGAGGAAGGUGAAGUCGUAACA